rnacentral:rRNA from 1 species
AUACGUAGGUGCAAGCGUUAUCCGGAAUUAUUGGGCGUAAAGGGCUCGUAGGCGGUUCGUCGCGUCCGGUGUGAAAGUCCAUCGCUUAACGGUGGAUCCGCGCCGGGUACGGGCGGGCUUGAGUGCGGUAGGGGAGACUGGAAUUCCCGGUGUAACGGUGGAAUGUGUAGAUAUCGGGAAGAACACCAAUGGCGAAGGCAGGUCUCUGGGCCGUUACUGACGCUGAGGAGCGAAAGCGUGGGGAGCGAACAGGAUUAGAUACCCUGGUAGUCCACGCCGUAAACGGUGGAUGCUGGAUGUGGGGCCCGUUCCACGGGUUCCGUGUCGGAGCUAACGCGUUAAGCAUCCCGCCUGGGGAGUACGGCCGCAAGGCUAAAACUCAAAGAAAUUGACGGGGGCCCGCACAAGCGGCGGAGCAUGCGGAUUAAUUCGAUGCAACGCGAAGAACCUUACCUGGGCUUGACAUGUUCCCGACGGUCGUAGAGAUACGGCUUCCCUUCGGGGCGGGUUCACAGGUGGUGCAUGGUCGUCGUCAGCUCGUGUCGUGAGAUGUUGGGUUAAGUCCCGCAACGAGCGCAACCCUCGCCCCGUGUUGCCAGCGGAUUAUGCCGGGAACUCACGGGGGACCGCCGGGGUUAACUCGGAGGAAGGUGGGGAUGACGUCAGAUCAUCAUGCCCCUUACGUCCAGGGCUUCACGCAUGCUACAAUGGCCGGUACAACGGGAUGCGACGCGGCGACGCGGAGCGGAUCCCUGAAAACCGGUCUCAGUUCGGAUCGCAGUCUGCAACUCGACUGCGUGAAGGCGGAGUCGCUAGUAAUCGCGAAUCAGCAACGUCGCGGUGAAUGCGUUCCCGGGCCUUGUACACACCGCCCGUCAAGUCAUGAAAGUGGGCAGCACCCGAAGCCGGUGGCCUAACCCCUUGUGGGAUGGAGCCGUCUAAGGUGAGGCUCGUGAUUGGGACU